rnacentral:lncRNA from 1 species
UUUAUUUAGAAAAGGUUUAUCAACUUACGAGGUUCAGAAAAAUUGAAGAAGACUACCAGUUUUACCAAAGUAAAUACUAAUUUCAACGGUUGAGCUGUUUUGAACGAAUGAAACAGCUCAUAUUCGAAGUUCCUAUAGUCAUGCUUUCUAUGAGUUAACUAAUUUUAACAGGAGUCUUACAAAUAUGGUAUCUAUAUGCGACUUUGUUGUUAAGCCUAGAGUUUGCCAAAUGGCAUCACUAUGUGCAGAAAUGUAAACCCCUAUAAGCAUGGUAUCUAUAUGCAUAGUUGCAAAAUUCAGAAAUUAAAUCCUUUAGGCAUGGUUUCUACCCUUUGUGCAUAAACGUAACCCCUUCCCUUUUUCAUAUAUCCCCGUGAAUUUGUACAGAUUAUUACGGACCGGUAAAACAAACUAAAAAAAGGUACAUAAAAAAUUCCAACUACAUUCGAGCAACCUAAUUCAGACAUAGUGUCUAACAGUAAGAGAUUGAACCACUUUCGAGAUCAAGACUUCUAAAUGUUUCUCUUAUCAAGGGUGUUUCAGAGAUCCAAAGAGUAUCAGGAACUCAAGGCAGUGCUUACACCCAAGAUAUUAAUCACAAUGAGUUAUAGUGCAGUGUGAAAGAGCCAGCAAAUAAGAGAGGGGUAGGGGUGCCAAAGCAGGAUGGUGGUCAUGCCUAGUCACAAGGUAGGCUGGAACACCCCUGACCAAGCCUGCUCAGCCAGCAAAUAAAAGCACAGACCUAUUGAAGGGCAGACUAUGGUCUAAAUAAAGAUUAGGACACUGCCAGACCAAGGUCUCAAGCUCAGAAUACAUAUAAAGGGGAAGGGAAAUGGGAAUUAAAAGAGACUAGGACACAUGGAAUCCAGUCCAUAUACAUGAAUAACAAUGUCAAGUGCUGUCAUAUUUUCUGAACCAUAACUUAACAUACAAAAGGACUAUGGAUAGGGAUUCAUGUAAGCACAGAGAUAAGGAAGUAAGUAAACUUGCAAAAAAAUUACAGCAUAGAAACAGUAAGGCAAACAAAGGAAAGGCUGAAGAAUAAACAUGUAGUGGAGAGUCAGAAAUUAAACAAAGAGAGACAUACCAGUUGUAUACAACGUAAGCAAAGAAAAAGCAGGAUUAUUUCAGCCAAACCACAAUCAGAGAAGAGAAUUUUAAGCUUAUGAGUUCAGAGAACUAGAAUACCUUUAAGAAAAUCUAAGUGUAUUUGAAAGAAGAAGUAAUGACUUGCUCUGUGUGUUAGAACUUGUCCUUGAAAGAGAAGAGGUACAUGUAUUUAUAGUUUUGAAAACGAGUAGAUAAUAGGGUAACAAGUAAUGUUUUAACACAAACAUGGAAAUAAUCACAGUCAAAAUCAAUUAGCACAAGUAUUUCCCUUUAAUCAAUGGAUUACUGCUCAAAUGGAUACUAACAUGAUUAAUUAAGGAAAGAAAUCAAUUUGAGAAAGAUUGAUUUCUCACCAUAGUAGGGAUAGUAAAAGUAUAGAGUAAAUAUUUAAGUCUAAGUACUAAGUAUGCUUAAUUUUGGGAGAGGAUUCAGCAAAGAAAAAUAAGAAAAGGAAUCAAUUAACCCUUAACAGGCGAGUAAAAUAAGAAUCUCACAAGGAAAAGUUUUGAAUAUUAAUCACAGAAGGGACUUAGUAUAUAAAUGAAGUGCACAAGUAAUAGACAUGUGAGUCCAAGCUACAGCAAGUGGAAACAGCAUACAGUAAUAGCAUAAAAUUAAUAGACAGCAAGCAUUCAUAGCAUGAUAGUCACGUAGGUAAAGUUUCAGUGACAUAGUGAUAGAGAGAAAGAUCAGAAGCAUGCAAAAGUCAAGUGAAAACCUUUCUGAAAACAUAGUCGAGUUUGACAGAUAGCAAGAACUCUGAAUAACAUGAAUCACACAUAAAGAAAAGAGAAGCUGAUGUUAAAGGAAGCAUAUUGAAUGAUUUCAAACAGACGAGUUUGACAAACAACCUCAGUAACACGAAUGGAUCCCAAAGAACUAGGGUUUUCGAAAUCAGUCGAGUUUAGAGGCGAUAAAUAAGUGAAACAAACAAACAGUUUCAGAAUCUCCAAUAAACCCCAAAAUUAGGGGUUUCAACAUUAAUCGGUAAACCAAAUGAAUACUAAUAGAUAGACUAAAAAACUUAAACAAAUCCCAAGAAUUAGGGUUUUCAACACCAAUUAAACAUAGAGAUGAUAAGCAGCUGAAUAGAACAAAGCAUUAACAAACAGACUCAGAAACCCUAAUUUGAAAUCAAAGUAUUUUGAAAAAAAAAUUUGGGGAAAACAGUUGAGAUAUCAAAUAUAGCAUAGAUCUAGCACAUAUCUAAAUAAAUAAAUGAAAAAAAAAACCUCGAAUAGGCUAGGGAUUCUGAGAACCCUAGAAACGAGAAAGGCAUGGAAGAAACAAGAUCAGAUCUGGAGUCGAUGAGGUUGAAAUCAGGCUCAGGAGGCUAAGAUACGCUAGAGCAAGGCCAUAGAUGGCUGAAAACCUCGAAUCGACAAAGAUCUGAGUGAAGGACCUCGAAGUAUGGCCUCGAACCUUCAGCUAUCAAGCACGUGAGAGCAGUAGGGAGUGAUUAUAGGUCAUCCAUGGCUUGAGCAGCCAUAGAUUCCAGUGGGUUUGAGGUUAAAAGCGGUAGAAAGCAAUUAGGAUUUCGAGAGAGUUUCAGAGCGUUUGAGAGAAGAGAG